rnacentral:lncRNA from 1 species
CUUUAGCACCUGUCUCGUCCCCAGUGGCUUUUCCAGAACUACUGCCUUCACCAUGAAGCUCCAUGAGCUUUCCCAAAUUUAUUGACCACUUCUUUCAAGUCAUUUGUCUGCACCUCUCGGAUCAUGAUUUCCAUCAUCUUCUUCCGGAUUUGGCGGACCUGUUGGUGCUGAGCAUUCUGCAAAUCAGCAAGACUCACUUCAAACACACGACCCUUGAGACCAUCAGA